AGAGUUUGAUCCUGGCUCAGAAUCAACGCUGGCGGCGUGCCUAACACAUGCAAGUCGAACGCGAAAGCCCGCAAGGGUAAGUAGAGUGGCGCACGGGUGAGUAACACGUGGACAACCUGCCUUCGAGUGGGGAAUAACCUUCCGAAAGGAGGGCUAAUACCGCAUAACACCUCGGGACACAAGUUCUGGGGUUGAAAAGAGCAAUUUGCUCGAAGAGGGGUCCGCGCCUGAUUAGCUAGUUGGUGGGGUAACGGCUCACCAAGGCUUCGAUCAGUAACCGUCCUGAGAGGGAGCACGGCCACACUGGAACUGAGACACGGUCCAGACUCCUACGGGAGGCAGCAGUGGGGAAUUUUUGGCAAUGGGCGCAAGCCUGACCAAGCAACGCCGCGUGGGUGAUGAAGUAUCUUGGUACGUAAAACCCUUUCGGCAGGGACGAACCUAAUGACGUACCUGCGAAAGAAGCCCCCGU
rnacentral:rRNA from 1 species